GCAUUAAUUUUAAAGCCCGGAAAGCCAAAAUUAGAUGGAACAAAGAAACCAUUUUAAUACAUUACAGAAACCAUUUCUCUUUUACUAAACUCGCUAAACCCUUCUCCGACGCUGUUGACGGUGGUGAUGCUGUCGCCGACGGCGGUGGAGCUGCUCUCUUCUUGGUGGUGACGGCGACAGUUUGAAGCUUGUUGGCUUGAAAUACAUCUCUACAAGAAAGGAAUCGUUUAAGGAAUACUUAAAUGGGGAAAAGAGCUAACUUUUCUUGAGGUCUUCGAAGAGACGCAUAAGAAGAAAAAGGACGGUACAAGAGAGGAUUGGGUCGAAACACGUGCUGAGGAUGCAUAUGAAGGAUUUCAAAAAAGUAUGGAAGAUUGGGCAUCUAACCCAACCCACUUCAGAAGAUGGUACCAUAGUCCAACCAUCACUUGUUGAUGUGACUAACAUGUGGACAGCUGUGGUAAGUGGUCUAAAGAAAGGUAGAAUCUACGGGUGUGGGGUUCUCCAAUCUUCGAGUAGUCCUUCGUUGUUUUCUAGUUCCUCUUCUACUUUGCAAACUAUGGAAGAAAUGGAAGCAAUGAGAAAGCAAAUCAUAGAGUUGACACAACAAUGUGCAGCUAAUGAUGCCAAGUUUGCUAAAUUUGAGGAGUUGGUCAAGAAACACAUGCCUCAAGUAUUUCAUGAUGAGGAAGAGAGUGAACCUGAUGAUGAUUAGAUUGUAGUUGUUCGACAUUUAGAUGUUUAAAUUAUUUUACUCAAUGUUUAUUUUGGAUGUUUUAAAGUGGUUGAAUUUUUAAAUUUUUAUCGUGUUCGAUCCUACUGUGAAAAGUACAUUAGUUAUGUUGUUUAUAAUUGAGAGCAGUGUAAGCUAAUGAAAGAUUUUAUUAAAUAAUUAUUUAUAGGUGAAUAUUUAUUUAUUAAAA